rnacentral:lncRNA from 1 species
AACUUGCAAAUAUAGUUGUAGUUAUUUCACGCUCUGAUAUCAUCUUAAUCUGUCACGUCUCGAGGCCGAUUUUAAAAGCCUUUUUAAAUCAGUUACCAAUUUUGAAAUCAGAGUUGCGGAAAACAUGCCCUUUUUUUUUUAACUUGGCCCACGUGACAUACAGACCCACCACAAAUACAAAGUUCCUCUGUCCACUCAGACCGAAUCUCCUUUGUAUUUGCACAGCGUACCAACAGCUAAUCAGGAUAUCAACCACAACUUACAUUUACCAAUCAACAACCAAUUCAUGAUAUGCAUUUUCAUACAACUAACAAUCCUUAGAGAUGAU